AACUAUAUUGAACCAAAUAGUAUUUUGUUAUAAUUGCUAAUACUUAAUUUUUUCAUUUUAAAAUUAUAGUACUGUAUAAAAAACAUAAAAAAAAAACAAAGUAUACAUUAUAGAUAUGAGUAAGUAACUUUUAGUACAAUCCACCUUGAAAUUAUUGCAGAUCUUCACGUAGAUCACAUGCUUGAUGCGAAUUUAAUUGAAUGAACUUAAGAGAAGAGUCCCUAGCGCGCUCUCCAUACAUAUGUAUAGUUCGCGACUAGGUGACAUGGCAAAACUAAAUGCUUUAACGGGAAUCACAGACACCGAUAUUAGUUCCUAGUACGAAUUUACGAAAUUGCAUUGAGUUUGAUUGGUUAGUAUUCAAAUGAGAGCUAACUUACGUUUCUUUGGAGCCUUUCAUUUCAUUCAUCGAGCAUUCAAUAUUAACAUUUAUUUUCGCUGUAGUCUGUGCUCUACCUUCAUAAGAGCUAUUUUACUAAAUAUGUUCAAAAUAUUAUACUUGUUUAAAAAUGACUCUGGCAAAAUGCUUUUAAAAUGCUGGUGUUGUUAAAUCAAUCGGUAGACAGUAUAUUUUUGCUUGUAUGGAGCCUCAAACACAAAUAACUUUACGAUUAAAAUUAAUCCUGUCGAAGAAAUAUUAUAUUAAUACUCAAUAAUAUGACUAACCUAACUUAGGUCUUAUUAUUAUGGUCAACCCUCAGAACUACGCACAACACAGUUUUAGUACAUGUUUGAACAUGUCGACAACGUUGAAUAUUUCGAAUAUCGAAAUACUACGAUACCAAUGAAAAUUGAACUUAAAAUCACUGAUUUUAAGGUUUUAGUUUGUCCAUUUAUUAUCUAUAUAAAUAGCCCCAAGCGAAAAUGUUUUUAAAACCAUCACCUUUAAGCUCAAUUUAUUUUGAAUUUUAGUGUUUUGGUGUUAUAUCAACAUUGUCGAGUUGUGCAAAGUUGUACUAAAGUUACAGCUAGAGGUAUGAACGAACAUCUAUUUAAAGCCUUCUCUUUAUGCUCUUCGCGCCACGAACGCUGCCAAAGGCGUGAAAUAAAGUAUGAAUGGUUACAUUCCCUUUCCGAUGUUGGUUUUGUUAUCCUCGACGAAGGGACUAUCGUGCACAACCACACUUCAAAGGUGUCGUGGCGUGAGUGGAGAGCGAGCAUAAUAUCAGUGGCACUUAAUGCUGGCCACAUUUAUCAUAUUAUGGCAUCCAACACCGACACAUAUAAAGUCUAGGAAAAUCGUAGUAUUUCUAUGACCAGAAACACAAAUACCGGCGCAUGUAUGGAUCAGUGACACCUGUAAUGUGCUGGACACAUUUAUUAUACAUAUUAUGGCACCCAGCACCGAUACAUAUAAAGUCUAGUAAAAUUGUAGUAUUUCUAUGACCAGAAACUCAAAUACCGGCGGAUGUAUGGUGCGUUUAUGUACCUCUUGUAUAAUGGGCUAAUAAUGAAUCUAUCUGUAAUCUGCCGCUUAGCUAAGCAGCAUUGUUAUUUAUCAAAAGUUGUAUGGGUCAUGAUAAAUACUUAACAACGUUGUCAAAUAACUAAUCGACGGAUUACAGAUAGAUUGAUCAUUAUUUUCAGCUGUAAGUUACAAACGUGACAUCAGAGUUUCGUUAUUUGCUUUUGUAUGGAGCCAAACAUGACGUUUGGCCCUAUAAAAUGACAAAACGUCUACGUUGCUGUCACGUUUAUUUCUUGAAAACGGCGGGCACUGGUCAGAAAAUAAUAUGGUUUGACUUGACUCGACUAACGUACGAACGCUAAAGUCGUAUAUACUAAUAAACUAAUAAAUAUAGUCGUAGUAUGCCUAGUAGUUGGGUGCGCACAGCACGUAGGUAGCUAAUGUCGUCUCAGUAUUUAGGUUGCGUUCCUACUCACCAAGGAACUCCUGCCUCAGUCUUCGCGGUCGGUCGAGUCAAUUUUCGAUAGUCGGAAUUUAAGUUGCGCGCACAUUUACCAUCACUAUAAUCGACCAAACGCUCUCGGUCUUGAAUCGACCGAUCGCGAAUCGAAGCCUUCAUCUCCAUGUUUAUUAUUAUUUGCCAUCUCGACCGUUAUUAAUAGUAGGCUUAGUAUAAGUUUUAUUAUUUAGCAACAACGUUGGAUCAAUGAGCGAUGAUCGAAAUCUCAUACUAACCCUAGGUAGCUCGCGUAUAACUUGUCAUUCAUUGCGCCCUGUUUUUCGAAUGUUUACCUACACAUGAACACUUGGUAAAAAUUCUUGAGUUGUAAUUUUACUCAAGAAUUUUACAAUUUUUAUAUUUUUUGUACAGGAGAUAUUUUUAUACACGUAAAUAAAUACGCGAAGAUACUUCGCUUCGCGGUAUUGAAACUUUUUUUACUUCUUUAGUACUCCAUACAGGCAGAAGGGCAUUGCUUACCCUAACCUGUGAUAGUAAAGUUUGAGUAAGUUUUGUAAAAUAGUUCCCGUGAAGGGAGGGAAAUUGAUAGGUGAUUUAUUACGGAAAAAAUAUUUAAACCGAUUUCAAACUAGUUUUGAAAAAUUGCAUACUCAUGUAAGUAAAUAAUAAACUAAACUUCUGGACCUACCAAAAUGAAUCAAUAAAAGUAUAAAGUUACUUACUUAUUAUUUCAUUAUUUUACAUUUGUAAACGAUUUUCAUGAUAUUUGAAAGUCGUGUUUAUUAUGAUUCGAUUAAGAUUGAUAUUAUUUUGAGAUUUUUUUUUUGUAAAAUUAUCAUUCCUGUGAUAAUUCAUUCCAUUGUUUAUUUUAUGAUGUAAAAUGAACAUGACGUAUUUUUGUUAAUAGUUAAUAUAUUAAUUACACACCAUAAUGAUAAAGAAAAAAUACGGCAAUGACCUUUAUGCACUACAAAUAUAUAGACCACUCCGAACAAAAAUUAGUGUGAAGCUGUAAAAAUUAGUAAAACCCGUCUAGUGCGUAUUUCAUAGAGGUCGUUGGCUAACCAGCACUGCAUCGCUGACACAUCCUAGCUCGUCAUACAAAUCUGAGCUUUAAGUCGUCAAUGACAAGAAAAGAUAGUCGACAAAGAUAAAGAUAUUCAAUAAAAUGUCUUCAGUUACAUGCGUAUAAACUUUGAUAAACAAAAUCCACAUUUAAAUGAGAAGCGAUGUGCUGUACGUAAGCGGUGCGGCGUAAGCUGAUGUUCUUAGAAUAGUGGUGCUGUUACAUAGCGGCCGAUGUAAAGCGUCAAAUGACGGCACUGAAAAUAUAAAAAAAAAACGCUUUUUAGAAAACCAUUCGUUCAAUAGGCAACGUUUCUAUGACGUCAUUCGACGCCUCUAUGUACGUACCACAUGCAACUAUAAGGGCGGUUCUGCUAUCCUGGGAUAUAACAAAACCUGUCCUUUGCACAUCUCGUCAACGUUAAUCGAUUUCGAGUGUCGAAACAGUUCAACGUCUACGAGUAAUUAAGUUAAACUACUCUAUUUUAAAUUCGUAAUACUGAGUAUUCGACUGUAAAAUAAAAGCAUUUAAGGCCAUUUUAUUAUGACGUUAAAGUUUUUCGUUCUGGAAAUUGCUUAACAUUGUCGAGAUCUGCUACGUGGUACUGAAGAACCUCGUACUUGUGUAACAUCUUUGUUUUUAUAUGUAAUGAAAUAAAAUUUACAACAUGUUUUGGAUCCUAUCAUAUCCAUUUGAAUAAACCUCAGUAUUAUACAAGCACAUCAUUGCAAAAACCAUUUAAUAAUUAGUAACCAACUAACCACUAAUUAAAUUUAAAGGUUAACAACACGUUAAUUAUAAUUUUUGAGUUCAUAUCAAGCACUAGAUACCUCUUAAAAUAAAUAAAUGAUUUUAUAGUUUUAAAAUUUACAAAAAUGCCCCAAUAUGUUGUAACUGUUGUUUGAUUACAAAAGCGCCACAUUGUUAUUGCUUAUUAGAAAUAGUGAUUACAUUUUUUCUUACAAAAUGAAAACAAAAAAAAAUUAUAUAAAAUGCUUUUAAUUGUAUCCGUAAUACAGGGAAAUUAGCAACGGAGUUAUCAAUAAAAUGAUUAUAAAAGGCUCAAAAUCUAGAUCAUAAAAAUAAAUUAGGUAAAUAUUCUAACUCUCUCAAAUUGUGAUAUGAAUUAACAUGACUUAACUACAUCUAUUAAGUAUUAUUUCACCUCUAAAAAGAUAUUUUCGUAUUAAGUUUAAAAGGUACUUAUGUAUAAAGUUGAAGUGUCUUCGCGAGGCACGUCGAUUUUAAAAUUGCCUUUUUAGUAGUGGGAUAAUCAGGUGUACCUACUACCUACCUACACAAAACAUCUUUUUUAAAAUAAAAAAAAGAAUUUCACUUGUAAUUGGUAAAUACAAUACAUUAUACUAAUUAAGAGAUUAUGUUAUAGUAAUAAUUAAUUAAUUAAAAUAAGAUGUUCUACUAUUAUCGUUAUUAAGAGCAUAUUUUUAUACUAGAAAAUAAAUCUUAAGUUCAUUAUCUC